UAGAGUUUGAUCCUGGCUCAGAUUGAACGCUGGCGGCAGGCCUAACACAUGCAAGUCGAGCGGAUGAGAGGAGCUUGCUCCUUAAUUCAGCGGCGGACGGGUGAGUAAUGCCUAGGAAUCUGCCUGGUAGUGGGGGACAACGUUUCGAAAGGAACGCUAAUACCGCAUACGUCCUACGGGAGAAAGCAGGGGACCUUCGGGCCUUGCGCUAUCAGAUGAGCCUAGGUCGGAUUAGCUAGUUGGUGAGGUAAUGGCUCACCAAGGCGACGAUCCGUAACUGGUCUGAGAGGAUGAUCAGUCACACUGGAACUGAGACACGGUCCAGACUCCUACGGGAGGCAGCAGUGGGGAAUAUUGGACAAUGGGCGAAAGCCUGAUCCAGCCAUGCCGCGUGUGUGAAGAAGGUCUUCGGAUUGUAAAGCACUUUAAGUUGGGAGGAAGGGCAGUAAAUUAAUACUUUGCUGUUUUGACGUUACCGACAGAAUAAGCACCGGCUAACUCUGUGCCAGCAGCCGCGGUAAUACAGAGGGUGCAAGCGUUAAUCGGAAUUACUGGGCGUAAAGCGCGCGUAGGUGGUUCGUUAAGUUGGAUGUGAAAUCCCCGGGCUCAACCUGGGAACUGCAUUCAAAACUGUCGAGCUAGAGUAUGGUAGAGGGUGGUGGAAUUUCCUGUGUAGCGGUGAAAUGCGUAGAUAUAGGAAGGAACACCAGUGGCGAAGGCGACCACCUGGACU
rnacentral:rRNA from 1 species